GACGAACGCUGGCGGCGUGCUUAACACAUGCAAGUCGAACGGUGAACCAGAGCUUGCUCUGGGGAUCAGUGGCGAACGGGUGAGUAACACGUGGGCAACCUGCCCAGACUCUGGGAUAACCUCGGGAAACCGAUGCUAAUACCGGAUACGACCACUUCGGACAUCCGACGGUGGUGGAAAGUUUUCGGUCUGGGAUGGGCCCGCGGCCUAUCAGCUAGUUGGUGGGGUAAUGGCCUACCAAGGCGACGACGGGUAGCCGGCCUGAGAGGGCGACCGGCCACACUGGAACUGAGACACGGUCCAGACUCCUACGGGAGGCAGCAGUGGGGAAUAUUGCACAAUGGGCGAAAGCCUGAUGCAGCGACGCCGCGUGAGGGACGACGGGCCUUCGGGUUGGUAAACCUCUUUCAGCAGGGACGAAGCGAAAGUGACUG
rnacentral:rRNA from 1 species